ACAAAAGUUUUGGGAAGAUAUGGACAAUUUAAUGCAACGCAUACCGAAUGAAGAGAAUAUUCUUAUCAGAGGAGAUUUGAAUGGACAUGUAAGGAGUGAUAGGUAAGGUUAUGAGAAUAUUCAUGAAAGUUUUAGUUUUGGUAGCCGUAAUAAGGAGGAGAAAAGCAUCCUGGAUUUUGCAAUGGCAUACGACCUAAUACUAG
rnacentral:misc_RNA from 1 species